rnacentral:lncRNA from 10 species
GCAACCUUUUCUGAUUAUCUACUCCACCCUGACUCAUUCUCCACCUUGACUCAUUCUGAUUACCUACUCCAUCCUGACUCAUUCUCCACCCUGACUCAUUCUGAUUACUUACUCCACCCUGACUCAUUUUCCACCCUGACUCAUUCCGAUUACCUGCUCCACCCUGACUCAUUCUCCACCUUGACUCAUUUCAUAACCGUUUUUCCCUCCAAACAACUCACCCUGUCACUCUCUUUAAAUUACUCAAUCAGAAUUAGUUUAGCCUGUACGGUCUAACCCUAGCCAAUAGGGGAAUGACAAAGCAGUAGGGACCAUGUGCAUAAGGAAAAAUAACCCCUUUCCCUCCUUUGUCCAGGUGUGCACUCACCAGUCCUCCAUCUGUAAGGGCAUACCCUUCUAUAGAAGUACCUUGCCCUGCUGAGAAUUAAAAAGAAAAUUUUAUAUUCGAGUGCUAUUUCUUUUGUGGCACCGAAACUUUACUUAUAACAAUUUGGGGGCUCAUCCGGGAUUACAUUCCCCUCCGGGGGUGGUCUCUGGUUCUCUCUUGUGAGGAGGUGCACCCCACCCCACUGUGGCGGCCUCAGGGGUGAGAAAUCAAGACCCACCCAGUGUGAAGAAUAACCUGAGCUCUCAGCUACAUGGAAAGAAACUGGCUAGCAACCUAGCUUAAAGCAUCCUCCAUAAGGGCCACACAAGUGUGUGCAUGGACCGAGGAAAAGACACCAUGGGAGCCGGUAAAGUAUUUCCUUGGUGGUUGGGAGCAAGGGUAUCGUGCAGCAGUUUUUGGUGUUACUGACGACCAGCUCUGACGAGAGUCUUCGGUUUCUUAGCUUCAGGCUGGACUUCAACGAGCAUUACAAAGCCAGGGAGCCCAGGCUCCGCGUGUCUCUGGGUACCAGGGGGCGGCGCAGCUCCCACACGUGAAGCUCGCGGUCCUCCCAGGGAGCUGCGGGUGAUGUUCGUUGCACUGCUAGACACGAAAUUCCCAUUGACGUCCUGCAGGAACUGCAUGCUGCAGGUGUCCUGCCCUUCCGCCCACGAGUGCGCCAUGUUUCAGCGGAGCGGCGUGUGGGAGAAGCCACGUCGUGUUGCACACGUCGGAGUUGAAUGCAUUUGUAAAUCACUAAGUCAAGUAGGCUGGCUGCACUGUUCACAUUUGUCUCUAAAAGUCUUCAUCCCCAAAAGAUACCAUAAUUUGCUGAGGCUUCUGAAUCUUAAGUGCUCUAAGUUAUAACUUAUAUUUGUCACUUUAAAAGAACUGUUUGUUUAGCAAAAUCUACAGCAAGGGUAUAUUUAUAAAGUGAUAAUGUCAUUGCUGUUAUUUAGCAUCCUCUUCAGAAACUUUUUUUUGCAAUAUUAUUAGAUUAAACUGAAAUACAUAGAAAAUAUAGAGAGCAUUUUAUUAUCUUGGUAUUCAAGGUUGUAAAGUGUGAAAAUUUUUGUAUCUUACAUAUAUCUAUUCUUUUCUCUCUCCUUUCAAGGUUUACACUUACAGAUUUAAUUUACUAUUCUAGAUAACUUCUAAAAUAGUACAGAACACGAGUAGGAGUGUUGUGGAACAAAAACAUCCUUAAACUUAAAUUUCUUGACGCCACCAGCUGAAGCAGUGUGGCAACAGGAAUGACUAGAAAGUUAACAAAGUAUUUUAUUUUUACAAUUUUGAUGAGCAUUAUAAAGAAAUCGAUUUGGAUAAUGAAGGUUUCUUUUUUCUUUGACUAAUUUUUCCUUGUAAAUAUUUAUAUACUAUUGACCAGAUGCUGGGGAGAACGGUGUCUGUAAAAAGUCACGUCAUAUCAGCUUGCCUUUAUUAUGCUGUAUAAGUGAAAACUUAGAAAACUGAAAGCAAUUAUCUUUCAAAGCAUUGGCUGUUUUUUGAAUAGUCUAUUAAGUGACAGUUCAUUUGCCAGGGGGGCGGGGAUUGACAGGAUUUGAUUUAAUGUAGUACAGCAUAUGAAUUAUUUAAUCAUAAUUAGAAACCAAGAAAUUAGAUUUUGUGUGACUUUCGGUGUAGAAGCAAACGCAAUGUCACCACUCAGGUCUCAGGAGCGGUGCUUUAGUUAUCUGAAUCUGCCUCUGACUCCUUUAGGUGUGGAUUCCCUUUAAAACUAAAGGGGCCAUCAAGAAUCCUGGCCAUGCAGAAAUGAUUCCAUGGCAAAGGCCAGAAAUUCUUAGGAUAAAAACUUAAUUUAAUUUUAGUUUUCAAGUUCAUAAAAUCAGAAAUUUGAAACAGAUUUCUCCACUGCAAGUUGUCCUAGAAAUUAUGGCGUAUUGUGUAUCUCCGAGAGAGGUUUACCAAGGUUAUUAACCAUGCAGCCAGCUUUUAUUUUAUUUUAUUCAGAGAGUUGUUCCAGGGAUUAAUCCUCGGUAGAAACCACCCUAGCAAAGGCCCACCUCGAUUUUAGGGAUUACGACUCCAUUGGAGUGUAGGAGUCACCAGGACUUAGGUCAGAUCUGUGGGCUAUGGAGGGCUUCCGGGAGGUGCGGCCCUGGGGGGUGCCUGCGGGUCUGGAGGGUGGGAGCUGGGAUGGGGUGAGGCCUCUGAGGAGCUGCGUGAGACCCACUCUCCGUCAUUGUGGGUGCACAAUCAGGCCCCUUAGGGAGCCAGGGCCCCAAAACCCAGCAUCAGCCAAGCAUGGAUGACUUGGGGGUUCCACACUGGGGUUGUGCGUAAAGGAGAGCUCCUCUCAGGGGUGGGUGCGCCCGGCCCGGGGGUGCCACGUCUUCACCCAGAAAACGAGGCCGAGUCUGCAGGGGCCCUGCUGCAUGGAUGGAGGUGUGGGUGGUUGGUAGGACCCCAGGC